UGUCACCAUGGUUUUUGAUAUCUACAAGGUCAAUUUUAGGGUUCUUGUCAUUGACAAUACAUGGGAAAUAUGUAUUUUGUGUCAUGGUUUUUGAUAUCUACAAGGUCAAUUUUAGGGGUCUUGUCAUUGACAAUACAUGGUAAAUAUGUAUUUAAUUUGUGUCCUCAUGGUGUUUGUUUCCUCAGUUUCUGAUAUCGAUAAGGUCAAAAUUGGUUUAUUCCGCUAUGCAAUGCAAAACUCUUACCUAAUGUUGUCCAUGUAUUCAUUCAUGUGACUCAUUUCUCAUUCUUACACCCUGCAGCGCUACAACAGUACACAAGUCUUACUCAAUGUGUUAUGGGUCACGUUCCUGCUUCUCCUCCUGCUGUGCGGACUGAGUGCAUGGCGGAGCACAUCAAUAGGUGUUCUCUCUCCGCUGCGGGUGUGCCUCUGCAAGAUAUCUGCAAUCAACACACCUGCCGGUGAUGAGCAACCAGGCUUCAUAAGCCAGCGCGUCUUAAGAUCCGGUGCCAGAACGUAGUUUCUCCUACCAGUAAACUUCCUCUUCGUCUACCUGGACCCACUUUGGAUUCCCUCUUGCCUCCCUGGACCAAGACCUCGCUCCUGCCUUCUGACGUCCAAGCCUUUUUCUUCUUUUGGACUUCCACCUCUAUCUCAACACGCACACUCAACACCCUCUGGUGACCACGCUCAGAUAAUACUUACACAUAGUCACACUCCAUCUCUUUAAGGUAAUCACACACUGCACUCACAUACUGAGUUGUCAAUAAACACGCUGGCAGCUAA